rnacentral:rRNA from 1 species
UACGGGGGGUGCGAGCGUUGUCCGGAAUCACUGGGCGUAAAGGGCGCGUAGGCGGAUCUUUAAGUCGGGGGUGAAAGCCCAGGGCUCAACCCUGGAAUUGCCUUCGAUACUGGAGAUCUUGAGACCGGAAGAGGUAAGUGGAACUGCGGGUGUAGAGGUGAAAUUCGUAGAUAUUCGCAAGAACACCAGUGGCGAAGGCGGCUUACUGGUCCGGUUCUGACGCUGAGGCGCGAAAGCGUGGGGAGCAAACAGGG